rnacentral:rRNA from 1 species
UACGGAGGGGGCGAGCGUUAUUCGGAAUUAUUGGGCGUAAAGGGCGCGUAGGCGGCUUUCUAAGUCGGGGGUGAAAUCCUGGAGCUCAACUCCAGAACUGCCUUCGAUACUGGAGAGCUUGAGUUCGGGAGAGGUGAGUGGAACUGCGAGUGUAGAGGUGAAAUUCGUAGAUAUUCGCAAGAACACCAGUGGCGAAGGCGGCUCACUGGCCCGAUACUGACGCUGAGGUGCGAAAGCGUGGGGAGCAAACAGG